GAUAAAGCUCUCGUGCCGAACCAGGGCGGGAAGUCCUUCCUGAAGUCUGCCCUGCGUGGGGCCUGCUGCCAGAAGCCUGGGCCGGAGGGGAGGGGCGAGGACGAAGUAGCGAACCGUCCGCUGGCUGUCUUAGAAGGAUGAAAAGUGAAUUCUGAGCCUGGCUGUGGGAGCUGCGAAAUCUGCUUGCCCAGAAUGGCAGACAAGAUCUUGGAGACGAGACGGUUUUAGGUCUGCAGUCAACCAGCUCUAUUUUGUCUCACCAGCACUUCACAUCCGGCUUACUACCUCCGGGCACUAUUCUAAGUAUGUUACAAAUACGAACUCAUUUUAUCUUCACAAUAUUUUUGGUCCUGCCUGUGCAGAUCCCUUUUGGACAGUGAGGGAAACUGAGGCACAGAGCGGAGAAGCUGCUUGCUCAAGGUCAUCAUUUGAACCCAUGUCGGAGUUAUCGUUCCUCUGUGCUGUGCGCCCGUGGGAGAGGCAUUAACACUCAAAAUACGAAACUGCACAGAGUCAAGAAAACGCACUCGUGGACGGCCUGCGGACCACUAGUUUGAGACCCCAGCCUCAACAUGAGCAUCUGUGCAAAUAGACACGAACUGUCCUCCUCCCAGAAGUAGACCUGGGCAUCCUGACCCCAUGAACACAGGGACUUGCUGUCUCUCCCCAAACUGGAUUCAGGCAUCAUGGCUUUUGAACACAGGGCUGAUGAUCCUUCCCAGAAGAGAAUGCAGGCAUCUUGGCCCCAUAAAAAUAGGGGUCCUGGGCCGGGCUCAGUAGCUCACGGCCUGUAAUCCCAGAACUUUGGGAGGCCUAGGCCGGUGGAUCACCUGGGGUCAGGAGUUCAAGACCAGCCUGGCCAACAUGGCUAAACCCUGUCUCUAUUAAAAAUACAAAAAUUAGCCGGGCGUGGUGGUGCACACCUGUAGUCCCAGCUACUCAGGAGGCUGAGGGAGGAGAAUCGCUUGAACCUGGGAGGCAUAGGUUGCAGUGAGCCAAGAUCGCACCACUGCACUCAAGCAUGGGUGACAGGGCAAGCAAGACUCCAUCUCAAAAAAAAAAAAAAAGUAAAAAAAAAAAAAAUUAGCCAGGCAUGGUGGCACAUGCCUGUAGUCCCAGCUACUCGGGAGGCUGAGGCAGGAGAAUCGCUUGAACUGGGAGGAGGCUGAGGCAGGAGAAUCGCUUGAACUGGAAGGAGGCUGAGGCAGGAGAAUUGGGAGGCAUAGGUCGCAGUAAGCUGAGAUCAUGCCACUCUGCACUCCAGCCUGGGUGACAGAGUGAGACUGCGUCUCAAAAAAAAAAAAAAAAAAUAGGGGUCCAGGCCGGGUCCAGUGGUUCAUGCCUGUAAUCCCAGUACUUUGGGAGGCUGAGGUGGGAGGAUCAUUUGAGCCCAGGAGUUUAAGACCAGCCUGGGCAAAAUGGUGAAACCUCAUUUUUACUAAAAAUACAAAAAUUAGCUGGGCGUGGUGGCACAGGCCUGUAGUCCCAGCUAAUCAGGAGGCUGAGGCAGGAGGAUCACCAGAGCCUGGGAAGCGGAGGUUGCAGUGAGCCAAGAUCACACCGCUGCAUUCAAGCGUGGGUGAUAGAGUGAGACCCUGUUCUCAUAAAAGAGGCGGAGGGGUCCUUAGCUAGAGGUUUCCUUGCUUGGAUUCUCAGAGAGUCAACGGACUCCCACACUGGUAAUAGUAAUGACAAGUAACAUAUAUUAAACAUCCAUCAUGCCCCAGUACUUUUAUUGUUUAAUUUUUUUUUGUUUAUUUAUUUAUAAAACAGGGUCUUUUUAUUUUAUUUAUUUAUUUUUUUGAGACAGAGUCUCGCUCUGUCGCCCAGGCUGGAGUGCAGUGAUGGGAUCACAGCUGUCUGUGGUCUUGUCCUCCUGGGCUCCAGCCAUUCUCCUUCCUCAGCCUCCCAAGUAACUGGGUCCACAGGUGCACACCACCACGCCUGAUUAUUUUUUAAAUUUUUUGUAGAGACAGGGGUCUCACUAUGUUGCCUAGGUUGGUCUGGAACUCCUGGGCUCAAGCAAUCCUCCUGCCUCAGUUUCUCAGAAUGCUGGGAUUACAGGCAUGAGCCACUGUGUGCCUAGCCCAAUGUUUUAUUGUUAUUCACAUUCUGACUGCACAUCCUAUGAGGUAGGGACCUGUGCUGUCUCAACUCACAGAUGAGGAAACUGAGGCACAGAGCUGUGACCACUUCCCCAACAUCACCCACAGGUGGCAGAGGGGAUUCUAAGUCAGGCCAUCUGGACUCACAGCCCACAGUCUUUCAUGAGGGCUGCAUGCGGGCUUAGGAAACCAAGGCAGGCGAAUGGGUUCAGGCCAGGAGUUGGAAACAUGCCUGGGUAGGCAACACAGUGAGACCUCAUCUCUACAGAAAAUUUAAAAAUUAGCCAGGUGUGGUGGUGUGCACCUGUAGUCCCAGCUACUCGGGAAACUGAGGUGGGAGAAUUGCUUGAGCCUAGGAGGUGGAAGCUGCAGUGAGCUGUGAUCAUC
rnacentral:lncRNA from 1 species